GUCUAAGUAUAAGCAAUUAUACGGCGAAACUGCGAAUGGCUCAUUAAAUCAGUUAUCGUUUAUUUGAUAGUACCUUACUACUUGGAUAACCGUGGUAAUUCUAGAGCUAAUACAUGCUUAAAACCCCAACUCACGAAGGGGUGUAUUUAUUAGAUUAAAAACCAAUGCCCUUCGGGGCUCUUUGGUGAUUCAUAAUAACUUUUCGAAUCGCAUGGCCUUGCGCCGGCGAUGGUUCAUUCAAAUUUCUGCCCUAUCAACUUUCGAUGGCAGGGUCUUGGCCUGCCAUGGUGACAACGGGUAACGGAGGGUUAGGGCUCGACCCCGGAGAAGGAGCCUGAGAAACGGCUACUACAUCCAAGGAAGGCAGCAGGCGCGCAAAUUACCCAAUCCCGACUCGGGGAGGUAGUGACAAUAAAUACUGAUACAGGGCUCUUUUGGGUCUUGUAAUUGGAAUGAGUACAAUUUAAAUCCCUUAACGAGGAACAAUUGGAGGGCAAGUCUGGUGCCAGCAGCCGCGGUAAUUCCAGCUCCAAUAGCGUAUAUUAAAGUUGUUGCAGUUAAAAAGCUCGUAGUUGAACCUUGGGCCUGGCUGGCCGGUCCGCCUCACCGCGUGCACUGGUUCGGCCGGGCCUUUCCCUCUGGGGAACCGCAUGCCCUUCACUGGGUGUGUCGGGGAACCAGGACUUUUACUGUGAAAAAAUUAGAGUGUUCAAAGCAGGCCUAUGCUCGAAUACAUUAGCAUGGAAUAAUAGAAUAGGACGUGUGGUUCUAUUUUGUUGGUUUCUAGGACCGCCGUAAUGAUUAAUAGGGACAGUCGGGGGCAUCAGUAUUCAAUUGUCAGAGGUGAAAUUCUUGGAUUUAUUGAAGACUAACUACUGCGAAAGCAUUUGCCAAGGAUGUUUUCAUUAAUCAGGAACGAAAGUUAGGGGAUCGAAGACGAUCAGAUACCGUCGUAGUCUUAACCAUAAACUAUGCCGACUAGGGAUCGGGCGAUGUUAUUAUUUGACUCGCUCGGCACCUUACGAGAAAUCAAAGUCUUUGGGU
rnacentral:rRNA from 1 species